ensembl:lncRNA
CAGACCAGCAGCACUGAAGUCAGUGUGAAUGCAGGCAUCCAUAGAAACGUGUUCUCAUACAGCAGAGGGACUGAGCUGUCAUUGCCUUGAGAGCACCUGGUGAGGUUUGGUCAGCUUUCCAAGAUGAUAACAUGGAGCCUGAAGACCAAGUGCUGAAGACAGAAGGAACUGCAUCCUUGCUUUUAAAAGACAGUGGACUUUUCUGUAUCAUGAAGCUGAAGACUGAAUGCAGUUGAACACCAAAGGAAGCAAUGGGAAAUAUUUAUCAUACUUGGGAAGAGGGAUCCAUUUUUGCCAUAUGAAAGCAUACAACAAAAGGUUCUGGCAGCUGGAAACUAGGAGAGAGAGCUGGGAUGGGACUUGCUUGCAUCCCACCGAUGAAGAUGAGCACCCAGUCCUCAGGUCCCUGUGUUUCCCAGCCAUCCCACUCCCUGACAGAUGUCUGUCCUAGGAUGCUGGCUCCCACUCCUAUAUUUGAGAGGUGACAGAUGACUUGCUUCUCCUCCUUUUGCAAGCCUGGGCUGGGCUGAUCUGAUUGCCCUUUUCAGCUGUAGAAAGAUCCAUGUGGACAGGAAGACAUCAGAGAUAUCUAAGACUUCAAGGGCAUGAGAUAAAUGCAAAUGCAUCACUAAUGACUGCUUUAAAAGAAGGUGGUUCUGAUCUCUGUUCAAGAGUUGAUCUCCACCUUAGCAAUGCUACCUUGGGCUUUGAAAGGAAUCUGACAACAUGUCCUCCCUCUGGAUUUUAUUCCUGACUGUAAAGUGGAACCAGCUUUUAGAAGCGGAGGAUAAAGAUUUGGCUGGGAACAUCUGAGCUGGAGGACCAAUAACUUGGGAGCUGCUCGGAAGUGUUUGAUCUGUCUCAGGCCCGCAAGUGCUGAGCAAACGCCUGCCUUGAAGUGGAAGUUAUUUUAUGCAUCCACUGGAGUCCUCUAAAGCCAUUUCCUCUGGGACCUCUGGGGACACUCUGGGCAUCUAUUUUCUCAGCAAUACCAAUGUGACAUGAGGGAGACCGUCUCACAGCCGCUAGGACAGAAGCUGGAGCAAUUUAAGCACCAAGUAUCUGCUGUAGUGGAAAUGCUGAGUCACAGCCUGAAGCAGUGAUGGAGCACCUGGUGGAAAGGCAGAGCCAACCCAGGGGAGCUCAGGUGCAUGCAAUGCACCUGAGUGAUUGGAAGGGAUCGAGCCACCCCUUCCCAGACCUCAUUUAAGGGUUGGCAGUGGAGGUGAGGGCAUCUCUUGUCUGCCGACCUGAGGCCUUCUAAAGGCAAAUAGCUCUUUUCUUUCAUUUUUGCAUCUGUGGCUGCUGCAUUUGGGCUCACUCUCAUUUGCUGCAGCCAAAGACUUUGCCACCCUACUAUUAUCAGCCCAUUAUAGCAUUAUGCCUGCUUGCCAGUUUUUUGCCUGUUCCUCGGGUUCUCUGAGAGUACAAGGAACAACAGCUUUUCAGAGUGGGUUCUGCUUUCUGUCUUUUCCCACCUUUGUCCACGCAGCAUACCUAAAUGUUUCCUCACCUCAGUCCUUACAGGGACGUUGUUGGCCAGGAGAGAUCAGUAAUGCAGAGGUUGGGCAAAUCAUACAAUCACUAUGGUUGGAAAAGGCCACUAAGAUCAUCAAGCCCAACUGUCAGCCCAACCCCACCAUGCCCGCUGACCACGUCCCUCAGUGCCGCAUCCCCACGGUUCUGGAACACCUCCAGAGACAGUGUGAUAUCACCAGUUGGACUGGAUGAUCUUAGUGGUCUUUCCCAGCCUUAAUGAUUCCAUGAUAAUAUGUUAUGUAACAAUUAUAGUAUAAUAUAAAUUGUAUUUAAUGGAGAUGCUGCUCUGGGUGUGAUUCAGCUGCAAGGGAAUCCAUCCCAUCUCUUGCAGGGUUUGUGGGGUUGGUAUGUGAUUUCCAUGCCACUGUGCGUGCACCACUAUACACAGCACAUUGCCCCAUCUUUGUUGCUGCGCUGCCCAACUCUCAGCUCAGGGAAAGGAAAGUCUGAGCUGAUAAGAAAGAUAACUGUUCUGAAGAAGGGAGGCAGAGGUUAAGGAGUGCCAUCUUUUGUGAUCCAUGAUUUGAGGUGGGAGCUUGCAGCCAGGUCCCCUCCGUGCCCAUUCUUCUGCCCUCUUCGCAUCCUCUCCUCCCAUUUUCCACCCCACCCUUGGAGAGGGGUAUGUCUGCUUACCUCCCUUUGCAGCAAGGGCAGAGGAAGAUGAGGAGCUUGGCUGGGGCAUGGAUGGAGCAGCCCAGGGUGCAGCAUCAACAGCCCCAGCCCCUACUCCCCCCCAGGCAGCAUUUGCAAAAGAUCAAAGCGUGCAGCAAAAAUAGCAAAAGGGAAGAGCUUGUGGGUUGGACAUCUGGAGGCCAGAAGCAGCUCCUGCUUUUGAGUAGGCAAGAGGUGAAGGAGGAAGGGUAAAAAUGGGUUUACGGUCUCGCUUCUUUUACUGGGAUUAAAAACUUCUUAUAAAGUUAUAUGGUUUGCUGUUAUUUGAGAAAGCAGUGUCCUAUGUCUCUGUAAGGUCCUAAUUUCAGAAGCAGGGAUGCUAAUGACACCUAUAAAAAUAGAGAGGUGGGUAUUUUCUGGCAGUCACAAUGCUGAUUUAUCUGUGGUGCAUCAUCUGACAACCUUAUUUUUAUUCCAAGGGGCACAAGGAGGCUCCUGGGAAAUGUCUGUGCUGCUAAGCUGAAUAAAGCAGGUGCUAUUUCCUUUUGCAGCUGGAUGUUUUCAACUAUAAGAACUCAGAAACAAGCCCAAACCUAAGGGGAUGGCUGGGUCACAGCCCAGUUUUUCAAAGCCUUUGCAAAGAAACUGGAGACAGGCAGACUAGAAGUCAAAGUCCAACCUCUGGACAGUGCUGCCAAGAGUGCAAUCAAAUAUUGUGCCCAUUUCCACCAAAUAAGUGUGCCAGUGUCAUUGCAAUGCAUUAACGUACAAACAGUACAUUGCAACGUUGGGUUCACUCUGCAAAUGGAGCUGAGUGAGCAAAGUGUUUCACGCCAUUAUGUGUGUCCAAAUGGGAUGAAAACCUCUGGAGGCAGCAUAGCGGGACAUUCUCUGGUGAAAACAUUUACCAUGGAAAAAUGCAAUUUGCAG